rnacentral:rRNA from 1 species
CUCAAUGUAAUUCAAUAGCCGCAAUAACUUUGUGCUAAGGUAGUAUAAUCAUUUGUCUUUUAAUUAAAGAAUAAAACGAAAGAUUCAACAUUUUUAUUCCUUUCUUAUAUAUUUUAUUUAAUUUAUUUUAAAUGUAAAAAAACAUUUAUAUUAAAAGAAGACGAUAAGACCCUAUUGAACUUAACUAAAGUUAAACUGGGGUAGUUAAUUAAAUAAAAUUUUAAUUUCAAAUCUAAAAACAACCUAAUACAAUUAAAUAAUCAAGUUACCAUAGGGAUAACAGCGCAAUAAUUUUCCAAAGAUCAUAUUCAAAAAUUUGUUUACGACCUCGAUGUUGAAUUAAUAAUCUAUCAAAUGCAAUAAUCUGAUAAUGAAAGUCUGUUCGACUU